rnacentral:rRNA from 1 species
UACGUAGGGUGCAAGCGUUGUCCGGAAUUAUUGGGCGUAAAGAGCUCGUAGGCGGCCUGUCGCGUCGGGAGUGAAAGCCCACUGCUUAACGGUGGGUCUGCUUCCGGUACGGGCGGGCUGGAGUAUGGCAGGGGAGACUGGAAUUCCUGGUGUAGCGGUGGAAUGCGCAGAUAUCAGGAGGAACACCGGUGGCGAAGGCGGGUCUCUGGGCCAUUACUGACGCUGAGGAGCGAAAGCGUGGGGAGCGAACAGG